rnacentral:ncRNA from 1 species
UAAAACAUAUCGAAAGGCAGAGUAAACGCCCAAGCUGUUCAGAGAGUUGCUGGUUGGUGGAAAGCAAUGAGUCUAAGCGUUGAAGAUGGGCCUGGAAUGGUACCGGUGAUUGUUAGCCGGUAACGGGUUAGCACACGUUACAAGUGCUGGGUAAUUCUAAGAAUUAACUUAGAGUCACCCACUAAGGUUAGGCUGGUGACGGCCUAACGAACAAAGGUGGUACCGCGAAGCAUUCGUCCUUUUA